AGACCCGAAACCCGGUGAUCUAGCCAUGGGCAGGUUGAAGGUUGGGUAACACUAACUGGAGGACCGAACCGACUAAUGUUGAAAAAUUAGCGGAUGACCUGUGGCUGGGGGUGAAAGGCCAAUCAAACCGGGAGAUAGCUGGUUCUCCCCGAAAGCUAUUUAGGUAGCGCCUCGUGAAUUCAUCUCCGGGGGUAGAGCACUGUUUCGGCUAGGGGGCCAUCCCGGCUUACCAACCCGAUGCAAACUGCGAAUACCGGAGAAUGUUAUCACGGGAGACACACGGCGGGUGCUAACGUCCGUCGUGAAGAGGGAAACAACCCAGACCGCCAGCUAAGGUCCCAAAGUCAUGGUUAAGUGGGAAACGAUGUGGGAAGGCCCAGACAGCCAGGAUGUUGGCUUAGAAGCAGCCAUCAUUUAAAGAAAGCGUAAUAGCUCACUGGUCGAGUCGGCCUGCGCGGAAGAUGUAACGGGGCUAAACCAUGCACCGAAGCUGCGGCAGCGACACUCAGGUGUUGUUGGGUAGGGGAGCGUUCUGUAAGCCUGCGAAGGUGGCCUGUGAGGGUUGCUGGAGGUAUCAGAAGUGCGAAUGCUGACAUAAGUAACGAUAAAGCGGGUGAAAAGCCCGCUCGCCGGAAGACCAAGGGUUCCUGUCCAACGUUAAUCGGGGCAGGGUGAGUCGACCCCUAAGGCGAGGCCGAAAGGCGUAGUCGAUGGGAAACGGGUUAAUAUUCCCGUACUUGGUGUUACUGCGAAGGGGGGACGGAGAAGGCUAUGUUGGCCGGGCGACGGUUGUCCCGGUUUAAGCGUGUAGGUGUGUGUUCCAGGUAAAUCCGGUUCACUUUAACACUGAGGCGUGAUGACGAGGCACUACGGUGCUGAAGCAACAAAUGCCCUGCUUCCAGGAAAAGCCUCUAAGCAUCAGGUAACAUCAAAUCGUACCCCAAACCGACACAGGUGGUCAGGUAGAGAAUACCAAGGCGCUUGAGAGAACUCGGGUGAAGGAACUAGGCAAAAUGGUGCCGUAACUUCGGGAGAAGGCACGCUGACACGUAGGUGAAGUGAUUUACUCAUGGAGCUGAA
rnacentral:rRNA from 1 species